rnacentral:lncRNA from 1 species
UAUAUGAACUUAAUGGUAUUUUUUCCAUUUAUAAAAAAGUUAAAAUUUUAAAUUUAAGAUUAUGUUCUAAAAAAAGUAGAAAUGACAUUCUACGAAGUAGAAAACGAAAUCUACUUUUUUCAUUGAAUCUACAAUGUUUAGAAUACGUGAUCUACGUAAAUAGGAGUAUUCUACAAAUAUGUAGAAUACACAUUCCGCGCUUAACCUACCAUUCUAAAAUUCUUAGAAAUCAAAAUCUACACAUUAAUCUAAUUCUAAAACAUGUAGAAACCGAUUUCUACAGAUUUACUAUAAAUCUAAAACAUGUAGAAAUCAAAUUCUAAACAUUACUAUAAUUCUAAAAAACUGUAGAAACUGAUUUCUACAGAAUAGUUGUAUUCUACGGAUAAGAAAUCAGUUCCUAAAAAUAUGGAAACAAAAUAUUUGAGAAUAUUUACUUUUAUAUUUUUUUAAAAAAAUCGAUUUAAAAAAAAACGAAAAAGGAACAAAAAAACGACAAAAAAACCUUGGCAACCUUCUUCGCCGUCUUCUAUAUUCCAUUGAUUGUUCACAAAAUUUUCACAUUAUUUCU